CCAAUUAUUUUCGGAACUUUUUUCCCCUUUUUCCAUUAAUAUUGACGUUUUGAUUUUUCUUUUUCCUCGACUCUAAUUGAUUGAGAUUCAUCAAAGGGUCCAUCAGUUCGUCAAAUUUGGGAUCGUCUUUUUCAAUCUCUUCGCAAAUCGAAUCGAAAAUGGUUUGCUUGGCGUGUCUGUUGCCUCUGUUUCUCAUUCCAGUCGUCAACGCGCUUCCUGUUCUAUUCUAUUUAAUUAUGGGCAAAAUUUAUGGAAUUUUUGGCUGGGAAUAUAGAAAACCACAAAGGGUACCACCGGCUUGUCCCUAUCGCCCUGCUGCCAAACAAAAUAGCAAUGGAUGUGGGGGGUGGGAUUUUCUUCAUGUUGAAUAGAUGCUUGUUGAUACAAUAGUUCUCUAAAUCCACUAUCUUCUAUCGAAUAGUGAUUUCCGGUGGACUUAGAACCUCUAGCUGGUCAGCAACACCCACCUCCAAAAGCUGUGGAUGCCGCGGACGAGAAGCAAGACUGAAUCUGAAAAUUUCUAUUGUACAUACCUGUCAGCAAGAAUCGAUGAAUAUUUGUGGCCCUGGAAGCUGUGGCACCAUCGAUUUUAGGAAGCUAUGAUUUCCAAUCGAUCAGAAAAGAAAAAAAAAACUUUAAAACUCUCAUCCUAAUACCAUCAAUACAGUUCAUUUUGUCACAGCAUGCUUUCUGAAUAACAUCGAUACAGACUUUGUAGGUAUGCUUUCUGAAUAAUCUAGUUGGAUGGCUUGAAUAUGUUUUCCUU